UAGAACUGCAGAUACAUAUUAUACUAAAAUCCACCAUGACAGAUGAAUAUGAUGCAAAGGAUUAGAUUUGAAAAAAGUUCUUCUCCUCUCUACAUUUGAUGAAAGCCAUUUUCAGCAAAGGUGGGAAUAGAACUGCAGAUGCAUAUACCAAAAUCCACCAUGACAGACGAAUAUGCUGCCAACUAUAGUUUUAGAUUUAAAACUCUUUUCUACAUCUGAUGGAAACCAUUUUCAGACCAAGAGCAGAGAAACUACCCCUCAUGAAGCUCAAAUCGAGGACGAUAGCAGUUCAAAGUAAAAAUAUAUAAUUAGUUAUAAAUUGAAAGUUCAAUUUUUGUAAUAUUUAAU